rnacentral:ncRNA from 2 species
UAAGGGUUGCCUGCCCUGAGUGGCUGUUAUGCUGCCAGGGCGUCCGAGGGGGAAGUCCGGUGCGAAUCCGGCGCUGACCCGCAACGGUGAGCACGGCCCGUACCCGCCCGUACGGCCGCGCCAGC